CCCAGUAGUUCAAACAGUAAUGAAUCUGCCUGCAAUGCAGGAGACCAGGGUUCGAUCCCUGGGUUGGGA
rnacentral:tRNA from 1 species